ACGGGUGAGUAAUACAUCGGAACGUGCCCUGUAGUGGGGGAUAACUAGUCGAAAGAUUAGCUAAUACCGCAUACGACCUGAGGGUGAAAGUGGGGGACCGCAAGGCCUCAUGCUAUAGGAGCGGCCGAUGUCUGAUUAGCUAGUUGGUGAGGUAAAGGCUCACCAAGGCGACGAUCAGUAGCUGGUCUGAGAGGACGAUCAGCCACACUGGGACUGAGACACGGCCCAGACUCCUACGGGAGGCAGCAGUGGGGAAUUUUGGACAAUGGGGGCAACCCUGAUCCAGCAAUGCCGCGUGUGUGAAGAAGGCCUUCGGGUUGUAAAGCACUUUUGUCCGGAAAGAAAUCGCACUUACUAAUAUUAGGUGUGGAUGACGGUACCGGAAGAAUAAGGACCGGCUAACUACGUGCCAGCAGCCGCGGUAAUACGUAGGGUCCAAGCGUUAAUCGGAAUUACUGGGCGUAAAGCGUGCGCAGGCGGUUGUGCAAGACCGAUGUGAAAUCCCCGGGCUUAACCUGGGAAUUGCAUUGGUGACUGCACGGCUAGAGUGUGUCAGAGGGGGGUAGAGUGCCACGU
rnacentral:rRNA from 1 species